GACGGAGGAUGCAAGCGUUAUCCGGAAUGAUUGGGCGUAAAGCGUCCGCAGGUGGCAGUUCAAGUCUGCUGUCAAAGACCGGGGCUUAACUUCGGAAAGGCAGUGGAAACUGAACAGCUAGAGUAUGGUAGGGGCAGAGGGAAUUCCUGGUGUAGCGGUGAAAUGCGUAGAUAUCAGGAAGAACAUCGGUGGCGAAGGCGCUCUGCUGGACCAUAACUGACACUCAGGGACGAAAGCUAGGGGAGCGAAAGGG
rnacentral:rRNA from 1 species